rnacentral:rRNA from 1 species
UACAGAGGUCCCGAGCGUUGUUCGGAUUCACUGGGCGUAAAGGGCGCGUAGGUGGCCCGGUCAGUCCGUGGUGAAAGCGCGGGGCUCAACCCCGCGUCGGCCAUGGAUACUGCUGGGCUGGAGCACUGUAGAGGCAGGCGGAAUUCCGGGUGUAGCGGUGGAAUGCGUAGAGAUCCGGAAGAACACCGGUGGCGAAGGCGGCCUGCUGGGCAGUUGCUGACACUGAGGCGCGACAGCGUGGGGAGCAAACAGG